CACGGCCUCACACAUGCAAGUCGAACGGUGGCAGCAAUGUCAUAGUGGCGCACGGGUGCGUCACACGUAACUAACCUGCCCAAGACUGGGGGAUAGCCCGCCGAAAGGCGGAUUAAUACCGCAUAAUAUCUUUUACUGGCAUCAGUGAUUGAUUAAACCUGAGGGGGUCUUGGAUGGGGUUGCGGGUCAUUAGCUAGUUGGUACGGUAACGGCGUACCAAGGCGACGAUGACUAGGGGAGCUGAGAGGCUGGUCCCCCACACGGGCACUGAGAUACGGGCCCGACUCCUACGGGAGGCAGCAGUAGGGAAUAUUGGGCAAUGGGCGAGAGCCUGACCCAGCCAUGCCGCGUGCAGGAAGAAGGCUUUCUGAGUCGUAAACUGCUUUUGAUAGGGAAGAAUAACCAGUACGUGUACUGGGAUGACGGUACCUACAGAAUAAGCACCGGCUAACUCCGUGCCAGCAGCCGCGGUAAU
rnacentral:rRNA from 1 species